UGCGCUCAAUACCGUAAGUCGCUCUGGAUAAGAGUGUCUGCUGAAGGACUAAAA
rfam:Salmo salar isolate Sally breed double haploid chromosome ssa13, whole genome shotgun sequence.